UCAAGCAGCUGGGAGGCGACACAGCUGGGACAGGGCUAUCCCAUACCAUAUCACAUUGUGAUUGGCAGUGAAAGCUCAUGAACAGUGCUGUGGGAAGUCUUGUCUGAUACAUCUGAAAAUGCUGCUCCAAGGAUACUUGUGACACAUUGCUAUUGCCACCCAUUCAGUGACCAGCCGUCCUGCUAAAGGGAUUUCAUUCCACCAUUUCAAAGCACUGUGAAGCCCCUGUUGCCCUCCAGGAUGGCAUAUUUCCAGUCCUUUCCCUUUCCAGAGCUGUGGCAGUUGGUGCAUGCUCAGUGAUUAUAAUGAAGAAUAUGAAAAUCAGGAAAGAAGCCAGAACAGCACUCAUCUCUACUUUGGAAUAAUGUAAGGAACAUCUGAGAGCUUCACAACUUUGUCCUUUGACAUGCUCUGGAAAACAAUUUAAGCAUCUUCAAACAGGGCUGUUGGUCACUAGAAGGAGCUAUGGUUUUCUUUAGCAUGUGCUUUGAUAUCGUUAACAAUACAGUUAAAAAUGCUAAUAUGGAAUUCCAGUGAAAAGCCUGGAUUUCUGAAUGCUUGUAUUUUUUAAUAACAAUCUCUGCAGUUGCACUCAAACAGGGCAAAUAAUCUGGCUGUCAAUUUUUGACAGACAGUUUGAGCAGAAGUACGUAACUGUGGAGCCGGGAAUAAUUCCUAAUAAUUGAAAGCACUUCAUAUUCAUGCAAAGUGCAUCUAAGAAACAUAUGGUUUAGAAUACUUUUCAUCUCAAGAAUAAUGUCAAUAAAUCCUUAAUUUUAUAAGGAUUCUUUCUUUUCCCCUGACAUAAUUAUCUUAAAAAUAUAUUACAGCUGUAGGUCAUAUUUUAAUGCAAAUGAAAGAUUUUGGUUUCUUUUGCUUGUGGGUUUGUUUUGGUUUUUAAUAAAGACACUUCCUGUUUAGAGAAUAUGGUACCAUCAAUUUUGAUUUAAAUGAUCCUCUCUGACAGAAGUUCCUUAUGCAGUAGAGUUUGGGAAAAAUUCAAUAGACAAAGACUUUUGAUUACAGCUGUGUAGUGGCAGGAGACAUGCAUAGUCACAGAGCAGCCAUUUUCUCAUUUUAAUAAGAAAACUAGAUAAAGAGGAACUGUUAUUUAGAAUAUUACUGCAGCUCUUCCCACUUCCACUCCAAGAGACACUGCAUUUUUCCUUCCCUUCAGUCAGUUAAGAACAUCACUUGCACUCACACAUGCACAGAAAAAGUGAAUGGAGACUGGAACACCCUGAUGAAAAAGUCAAGGUUUUGAAGUCACGGAAAUGAGUGUUGUUAUAAAAGUUGGCAUUGUAAGGCAGUAGAUGGGUGCUAGACUCAUUUAAUACACUGAAACUCACUUAGCUUGGACUAUAUUUUAUCAUGAAUACAGAAAAUACACCUUUCAGUUCUUACACUUGAAAAUUUAGACCAAGCAUUUGAUAUCACUGUGUUGAAGGUUUUAAUUUAUUCUCUCAAACACCCAGAGACAUCUUAACUUCCAGACACCAAAUACAAAAGAUGGAAAAUAUGCAACUAUUUUAACAAUGAACAUAAGCAUCUUGGUGAUGUGGAAGAGUAAGUCUCAUUAUCUUGCAGUAAAUUAAGGAUGUACAUAUCUUAAAAAGAAUUUUUAAGGUAAGAAAACUUUUCUAUGUAAAAUUGUUUUAUGGUUUAUUAAAAUUGAUUGUGUAUGAGUGGAGGAAACAGAAUAUGUUCUCAUCAUGAAAGCUACAUCACAGAUGUCUGUAGGUAGUCUGCAAAGCAAAACCCAUAAAGCGUAUACAUUUUGCUUACUCCUAAACAGGGAAUGGCAUUGUACCUGAUGUCAUCAAUUCUAAGUCUAUUUCUGUAGAGACAGCAGUAAAUGCUUAGCCAUGCCAUGGGAGUGAAUACACAUUGGUUACUUCAGAAAGCAGAAAAAUAUAGUUCUAUUCACUGUGCAGUGUUUGCAAUACAAUACACUGAUCUUAAAACAGGGCAUAAUUGAAAAUGUAAAUAGGAACCACAGAAACACCUUGCCUGCUCUCUUCCUGGAAUUCAUCUCCCACUUCAAAGUAGCAGCAUCAUUUUCUAAAUUCUGUACACUGUUUUUUGCAGGAGUAAAUUCAA